rnacentral:rRNA from 1 species
CCUACGGGUGGCAGCAGUGAGGAAUAUUGGUCAAUGGCCGUAAGCCUGAACCAGCCAAGUCGCGUGAAGGAAGAAGGAUCUAUGGGUUGUAAACUUCUUUUAUAGGGGAAUCAAGUUAUCCACGUGUGGAUAUUUGCAUGUACCCUAUGAAUAAGCCUCGGCUAACUCCGUGCCAGCAGCCGCGGUAAUACGGAGGAUGCGAGCGUUAUCCGGAUUUAUUGGGUUUAAAGGGUGCGUAGGUUGUUUGUUAAGUCAGCGGUGAAAGUUUGUGGCUCAACCAUAAAAUUGCAGUUGAAACUGGAAGACUUGAGUGUGUUUGAGGUAGGCGGAAUGCGUGGUGUAGCGGUGAAAUGCAUAGAUAUCACGAAGAACUCCGAUUGCGAAGGCAGCUUACUAAGCCACAACUGACACUGAUGCACGAAAGCGUGGGGAUCAAACAGGAUUAGAUACCCUUGUAGUC